rnacentral:rRNA from 1 species
UGAGGAAUAUUGGUCAAUGGGCGGGGAGCCUGAACCAGCCAAGUCGCGUGAGGGAAGACGGUCCUACGGAUUGUAAACCUCUUUUGCCGGGGAGCAACGGGGUCCUUGCGAGGGCCCGAUGAGAGUACCCGGAGAAAAAGCAUCGGCUAACUCCGUGCC